UAAAAAAUUCGUUUGGGCCUGAGCCCAAAACGAACCGGGUUGCAAAUGGCACCUAAUGAAACUGAGUCCAAAGCGCCAAUGGGAAACAAUGAAUCCAAAGUGCUCAGGUUUGAAGCCAAGUUCAAGAACUUAAGUCUCAACACAACAACACAUCUAAUAUUCACUCUUUCGAUUUCACACUUUCCAUCCUCAAGAACGAAUUUGCAGUGAAACAAUUUGAAGAAUAUGGCUCUGAUCAUCAAUUCAAUCUCCGAAAUCGACAUCAACAUCCCUUCAAUUCAUCACUGUGCAUGCAGAACCGAAAAGAACAAAAUAAAAAUCGAAGCGAGAAUUCACCGAAUCGGGCUUUGAUGCAAAUAAGGAUUAACUGGAAAUUGGCCAAGCCUGCGAACUUGUGAUGGAAUUGGCUUGUAGGUUGGAAUUUGCUUGUGUUUGGAAUGACUUGAAGAGUUUUUGCUUGCAUAUAGAAAUGGAGCUGGUUUAGGAAGAAGCAUUAGAUUAUAAGCUAUUAGGUUGGUCAUUUGGUUUAUAAAAAUGGAAGUGUAUUGAAUAUGGUAUGUCAUAGUUUUAAAUUUGAAUGUAGUUUUAGAUUGGAUUUUGAAAUUGUAUUGAAAUGUAAAUGGCUGGUUUGAAAUUGUAAUGGAAUUUGGUUUAUGAAAAAACUUGAAUGUAUUUGAAAAGGAAUGUUAUGGUUAAAUGAAAAUGAAAUUGGCAUU